rnacentral:rRNA from 1 species
AGAGUUUGAUCAUGGCUCAGGACGAACGCUGGCGGCGUGCUUAAUACAUGCAAGUCGAGCGAGAAGCCACCGCUCCGUAAGGAGUGGUGGUGGAAAGCGGCGAACGGGUGAGUAACACGUGGGUAAUGUGCCCUGAACUUUGGGAUAACAGUGGGAAACCGCUGCUAAUACCGAAUAACCCUGCACUGUCGCAUGACAGAGCAGGCAAAGUUCCGGCGGUUCAGGAUCAGCCCGCGGUGUAUCAGCUUGUUGGUGGGGUAACGGCCUACCAAGGCUUUGACGCAUAGCUGGCGUGAGAGCGCGACCAGCCACACUGGGACUGAGACACGGCCCAGACUCCUACGGGAGGCAGCAGUAGGGAAUCUUGCGCAAUGGGCGAAAGCCUGACGCAGCGACGCCGCGUGAGGGAUGACGGCCUUCGGGUUGUAAACCUCUUUCAGCAGGGACGAAGCUUUACGGUGACGGUACCUGCAGAAGAAGCCCCGGCCAACUACGUGCCAGCAGCCGCGGUAAUACGUAGGGGGCAAGCGUUGUCCGGAUUUAUUGGGCGUAAAGAGCUCGUAGGCGGCUAUUCGCGUCGGAUGUGAAAGCUCAGGGCUCAACUCUGAGAGGCCAUUCGAUACGGGAUAGCUAGAGGUAGGUAGGGGAGAUCGGAAUUCCUGGUGUAGCGGUGAAAUGCGCAGAUAUCAGGAGGAACACCGAUGGCGAAGGCAGCUCUCUGGGACGGUACUGACGCUGAGACGCGAAAGCGUGGGGAGCGAACAGGAUUAGAUACCCUCGUAGUCC